rnacentral:tRNA from 1 species
GCACCCGUGGUGAAACUGGCAGACACGCAAGAUUCAGGUUCUUGUCCUGGCAACAGGGUGGAGGUUCGAAUCCUCUCGGGUGCACCA